CCUUCCUGGCAGUGGACAAAGAGACACCUUGUUGGUGGUAGUGUUCUUAUAUCAGUCAGAGGCAGAGCAAACACCAAUCUUUGUUCAUCUUAGCGUGAUGCUUGGCUUAGUGGCCAAAACUGUCUUAUGCCUAGGACUCAUAA